UGGGGUGUCGCCAAGCGUUAAGGCACGGGACUUUGACUCCCGUAUUCGCAGCUUCAAAUCCUCCCAUCCCAGCCA
rnacentral:tRNA from 1 species